CAUUUAGAGGAAGUAAAAGUCGUAACAAGGUUUCCGUAGGUGAACCUGCGGAAGGAUCAUUAUCGUACAACCCAGGGGGCCCUGGCUGUCGGCUGACCCCCUUGGGGUCGUGCACGCCUUUGGGUGUGUCCUCAUCAUAAUCAAAUCCAUCUCACCCUUUGUGCAUCACCGCGUGGGCUCCAUAAAAAAAGGGGCUUGCGUUUUUCAUAUAAACACACUCCUAGUCAUAGAAUGUCUUUUUUAUUUUGCGACAGUACGCAAUCAAUACAACUUUCAACAACGGAUCUCUUGGCUCUCGCAUCGAUGAAGAACGCAGCGAAAUGCGAUACGUAAUGUGAAUUGCAGAAUUCAGUGAAUCAUCGAAUCUUUGAACGCAUCUUGCGCCCCUUGGCAUUCCGAGGGGCACACCCGUUUGAGUGUCGUGAAAUUCUCAACCUUCACUGUUUCUCAAUCAGAGAAGGCUUGGACUUUGGAGGCUUUUUGCUGGUCUCCAUUAUUGAAGCCAGCUCCUCUUAAAUGGAUUAGCGAGGUCUUUUGCCCAAUUCCUUGGACGUGGAUAAGCUACUUCUACGUCCCUGAGUUUUGGUGCUUCUCUGACCUCGCUUCUAAUGGUCUCCGAGUCGACCCCCCCUUUUCGGGGCCCCUUGACCUCAAAUCGGGUGAGACUACCCGCUGAACUUAAGCAUAUCAAUAAGCGGAGGAAAAGAAACUA
rnacentral:sRNA from 1 species